rnacentral:rRNA from 1 species
UACGGAGGGUGCAAGCGUUAUCCGGAUUCACUGGGUUUAAAGGGAGCGCAGGCGGAUUUGUAAGUCAGUGGUGAAAGGCCUAAGCUUAACUUGGGAACUGCCAUUGAUACUAUAAGUCUUGAAUGUUGUUGAGGUUUGCGGAAUGGGUCAUGUAGCGGUGAAAUGCAUAGAUAUGACCCGGAACACCUAUUGCGAAGGCAGCAGGCUAAACAAAUAUUGACGCUGAGGCUCGAAAGCGUGGGGAUCAAACAGG